rnacentral:rRNA from 1 species
CGGCAACAGCUCAAAUUUGAAAUCUGGCCUUGGCCCGAGUUGUAAUUUGUAGAGGAUGCUUUUGGUGCGGUGCCUUCCGAGUUCCCUGGAACGGGACGCCUUAGAGGGUGAGAAUCCCGUAUGUGACUGGCUGCCUUCGCCUAUGUGAAGCUCUUUCGAC